CUCUGAGUUUGUGACAAUAAAAUCAAUAACUGAUGUUUGCAAGUUAGCUGUUUUAAUUAGACUUCACCUGACCAUCCUGAGUGUUGUUACAUGUACCUGUGAUAAAUGUAGGUAUAUAUAUAUAUGUAUAUAUAUAUACAUGAAUUAUAAACAAAUCAUAAAUAUAUAUACUGUAUGUAUAAAUAAUUGUUAAGAGACAAAUUUGUCUUAGGCAAUAUAUGUAUGAGGAUAUGGAUUAGGUCUACAGCAUAGAGAAUAAAGAGCUAAAAGUAUACAGAUUAUAAAAGGGGGGGGAGGAAAUAAGAGAGAAAAAUAAUAUAAACGAAAUAUAAAUAUAUAUACAGUAUAUAAUUAAUUGUUAAAGAGACAAAUUUUUCUCUAGCGAUACAUGUAUGUGGGUAUGGAUAGGUCUACAGAAAGAGAAUAAAGAGCUAAAGUAUACAGAUUAUAAAGGUGUGUGGGGGGGGGGGGGGGUGGAGGAGGAAAUAAGGAAAAAAAAUAUUAUAAACAAAAUAUAAAUAUAUAUACAGUAUAUAAUUAAUUGUUAAAGAGACAAUUUUUUCUCUAACGAUACAUGUAUGUGGGUAUGGAUAGGGUCUACAGAAUAGAGAGAAAAAUAGGCCAAAUAUAUAAAGAAUCAUAUAAAACCUACAAAGAAUGAAGAUAAAUGGGCAAAAUGUAUUUAUAUAUAAAGAAUAGAGAAAAAUAGUUAAUAAAAAUAAAAAUACAGAAAUGAUAGACCCCCCUUUCCCCACAAAUCCGGUCCCUCAUUUAAGUAUUUCACAUAUUAUUGAAAGGGUAACACAUUGACCCCCUAAGGACAUAUCUCUGACUUAUCUGUACAAUAGUACAGCAAUCAGUAGCCUUGAUAUAAUACAGAUAAUCUGGCU
rnacentral:lncRNA from 1 species